CGAGCGUUGUCCGGAUUUAUUGGGCGUAAAGAGCUCGUAGGCGGCUUGUCGCGUCGAAUGUGAAAUCUCAGGGCUCAACUCUGACAUUGCAUUCGAUACGGGCAGGCUAGAGUUCGGUAGGGGAGACUGGAAUUCCUGGUGUAGCGGUGAAAUGCGCAGAUAUCAGGAGGAACACCGGUGGCGAAGGCGGGUCUGUGGGCCGAUACUGACGCUGAGGAGCGAAAGCGUGGGGAGCGAACAGG
rnacentral:rRNA from 1 species